rnacentral:rRNA from 1 species
UACGGGGGGGCAAGCGUUGUUCGGAAUUACUGGGCGUAAAGGGCUCGUAGGCGGCCAACUAAGUCGGACGUGAAAUCCCCAGGCUUAACUUGGGAACUGCGUCCGACACUGGAUGGCUUGAAUCCGGGAGAGGGAUGCGGAAUUCCAGGUGUAGCGGUGAAAUGCGUAGAUAUCUGGAGGAACACCGGUGGCGAAGGCGGCAUCCUGGACCGGUAUUGACGCUGAGUGAGCGAAAGCCAGGGAGCAAACGGGG